GGCCAGAUAGUCUAGUGGUAAAUGACGACUUGGUAGAAUAACCUGUGAGCUCCAGUACACUUCUAUCAAGUAGGCGGGGGUUCGAUUCCCUCUCUGGCCA